rnacentral:rRNA from 1 species
GACGAACGCUGGCGGCGUGCUUAACACAUGCAAGUCGAACGGAAAGGCCCUGCUUUUGUGGGGUGCUCGAGUGGCGAACGGGUGAGUAACACGUGAGUAACCUGCCCUUGACUUUGGGAUAACUUCAGGAAACUGGGGGUAAUACCGGAUAGGAGCUCCUGCUGCAUGGUGGGGGUUGGAAAGUUUCGGCGGUUGGGGAUGGACUCGCGGCUUAUCAGGUAGUUGGUGGGGUAGUGGCUUACCAAGGCUUUGAGGGGUAGCCGGCCUGAGAGGGUGACCGGCCACAUUGGAACUGAGAUGCGGCCCAGACUCCUGCGUGAGGCAGCAGUGGGGAAUAUUGCACGAUGGGCGGAAGCCUGAUGCAGCAACGCCGCGUGCGGGAUGACGGCCUUCGGGUUGUAAACCGCUUUCGCCUGUGACGAAGCGUGAGUGACGAUAAUGGGUAAAGAAGCACCGGCUAACUACGUG